rnacentral:rRNA from 1 species
GACGAACGCUGGCGGCGUGCUUAACACAUGCAAGUCGAACGGAAAGGCCCUGCUUUUGUGGGGUGCUCGAGUGGCGAACGGGUGAGUAGCACGUGAGUAACCUGCCCUUGACUUUGGGAUAACUUCAGGAAACUGGGGCUAAUACCGGAUAGGAGCUCCUGCUGCAUGGUGGGGGUUGGAAAGUUUCGGCGGUUGGGGAUGGACUCGCGGCUUAUCAGCUUGUUGGUGGGGUAGUGGCUUACCAAGGCUUUGACGGGUAGCCGGCCUGAGAGGGUGACCGGCCACAUUGGGACUGAGAUACGGCCCAGACUCCUACGGGAGGCAGCAGUGGGGAAUAUUGCACAAUGGGCGGAAGCCUGAUGCUGCAACGCCGCGUGCGGGAUGACGGCCUUCGGGUUGUAAACCGCUUUCGCCUGUGACGAAGCGUGAGUGACGGUAAUGGGUAAAGAAGCACCGGCUAACUACGUG